rnacentral:sRNA from 1 species
GGGGGGACGUUUGCAACUGAUUGAUUUUAAAUACAAUUAAAAAAAGACCGAAUACGAUUCCUGUAUUCGGUCCAGGGAAAUGGCUCUUGGGAGAGAGCCGUGCGCUAAAAGUUGGCAUUAAUGCAGGCUUAGUUGCCUUGCUCUUUAAGAAUAGAUGACGACGCCAGGUUUUCCAGUUUGCGUGCAAAAUGGUCAAUAAAAAGCGUGGUGGUCAUCAGCUUAAAUGUUAAAAACCGCCCGUUCUGGUGA